UGGAUUAUAUUUAAUUAUAAUAUUUGAUUUGCUAUCAAAAAGUGCUUAACAAUAAUAAGCUAAUCUUA
rnacentral:tRNA from 1 species